rnacentral:rRNA from 1 species
GUGGGGAAUAUUGCACAAUGGGGGAAACCCUGAUGCAGCGACGCCGCGUGAAGGAAGAAGGUCUUCGGAUCGUAAACUUCUUUGAUUGGGGAAGAAGUAAGUGACGGUACCCAAGGAACAAGCCACGGCUAACUACGUGCCAGCAGCCGCGGUAAAACGUAGGUGGCGAGCGUUGUCCGGAAUUACUGGGUGUAAAGGGCGCGUAGGCGGGGGAGCAAGUCAGGUGUGAAAUACCACGGCUCAACCGUGGGGGUGCAUCUGAAACUGUUCUUCUUGAGUGCUGGAGAGGAAAGCGGAAUUCCUAGUGUAGCGGUGAAAUGCGUAGAGAUUAGGAGGAACACCAGUGGCGAAGGCGGCUUUCUGGACAGUAACUGACGCUGAGGCGCGAAAGCGUGGGGAGCAAACAGGAUUAGAAACCCGAGUAGUCC